UACGGGGGGGGCAAGCGUUGUUCGGAAUUACUGGGCGUAAAGGGCGCGUAGGCGGCCUGUUAAGUCACACGUGAAAUCCCUCGGCUCAACCGGGGAACUGCGUGUGAUACUGGCGGGCUUGAAUUCGGGAGAGGGAUGUGGAAUUCCCGGUGUAGAGGUGAAAUUCGUAGAUAUCGGGAGGAACACCGGUGGCGAAGGCGGCGACCUGGGUCGAGACUGACGCUGAGGCGCGAAAGCGUGGGGAGCAAACAGG
rnacentral:rRNA from 1 species